AUGCAGUCCGUUGCUUUCUUCUGUAACAAGUCAGAGUCAUGAAGGACACAACUUUCAGGGAAGGCACAAUCAGAGCUCCUUUGGUCAUGGAAGGCCAGCUUCAUCAGUGGAAGGCAAUCAGUUGUCAUUGACCCCAGUCACUCAGUCUUACACUCAGUUGUAUCAGACAGGCCACGUCCAGACAAGCCACAUUGAAAGUUCAUCAGAAAGCAGGCCAAUUUCAACGGAAAAGGACAAAAGGCCAUUAGACCCAUUUGAUAACCAGCCUUCAAAACGACCUGGGGGAGAAUUGACUGAUCAUGGAG